rnacentral:rRNA from 1 species
GACGAACGCUGGCGGCGUGCUUAACACAUGCAAGUCGAACGGAAAGGCCCUGCUUUUGUGGGGUUCUCGAUUGGCGAUCGGGUGCGUAACACGUGUGUAACCUGCCCUUCUCUUUGGUAUAACUUCAGGUAACUGGGGCUAAUACCGGAUCGGAUCUCCUGCUGCAUUGUGGGGGUUGGAAAUUUUCGGCGUUUGGGGAUGGAUUCGCGGCUUAUCAGCUUGUUGGUUGGGUAGUGGCUUACCAAGGGUUUGACGGGUAGCCGGCCUGUGAGGGUGACCGGGGACAAGAGGACUAAGGGACGGAGCAGAGGGGAACAGGAGGCAGUAGGGGGGAAUAUGGCACAAUGGGAGGAAGCGUGAUGAAGAAACGCCGGGGGCGGGAAGACGGCCUGCGGGUAGUAAACAGCAUUCGGCUGAGACGAAGCGGGAGUGACGGUAAUGGGAAAAGAAGCACCGGCUAACUACGUG